UGUGUCUCAUUUUUCAAGUGGCCAAAUGAGUGGAUUUUUUUGCAGUACUUUCUCAGCUCUGAAUUCGCUCCAUUCAUAUACAGAGAAAACCCUUGCUCUAGCUGCUCUAGUUUGACUUGUGUGGGGUCCUUUCUAUUCAAAUACCUCAGUAGCCGGUUUCUCUGCUGAAGUGCUAUUAAAUAUUCAUCAUGUUUUUCAUCAAAGUUAGUCACCAUGUCCUUAAUAUAAG
rnacentral:lncRNA from 1 species